rnacentral:rRNA from 1 species
ACGGAAGGCAGCAGUGGGGAAUAUUGCACAAUGGGCGCAAGCCUGAUGCAGCAACGCCGCGUGAGGGAAGACGGUCUUCGGAUUGUAAACCUCUGUCCUUGGUGACGAAGAAUGACGGUAGCCGAGGAGGAAGCCACGGCUAACUACGUGCCAGCAGCCGCGGUAAUACGUAGGUGGCAAGCGUUGUCCGGAUUUACUGGGUGUAAAGGGAGCGCAGGCGGGAAAGCAAGUCAGCUGUGAAAUAUAUAGGCUUAACCUGUAGACUGCAGUUGAAACUGUUUUUCUUGAGUGGAGUAGAGGUAAGCGGAAUUCCGAGUGUAGCGGUGAAAUGCGUAGAGAUUCGGAGGAACACCAGUGGCGAAGGCGGCUUAUUGGGCUCUAACUGACGCUGAGGCUCGAAAGUGUGGGGAGCAAACAGGAUUAGAUACCCUGGUA